rnacentral:rRNA from 1 species
GAUGAACGCUGGCGGCGUGCCUAAUACAUGCAAGUCGAGCGAACGGACGAGAAGCUUGCUUCUCUGAUGUUAGCGGCGGACGGGUAAGUAACACGUGGAUAACCUACCUAUAAGACUGGGAUAACUUCGGGAAACCGGAGCUAAUACCGGAUAAUAUUUUGAACCGCAUGGUUCAAAAGUGAAAGACGGUCUUGCUGUCACUUAUAGAUGGAUCCGCGCUGCAUUAGCUAGUUGGUAAGGUAACGGCUUACCAAGGCAACGAUGCAUAGCCGACCUGAGAGGGUGAUCGGCCACACUGGAACUGAGACACGGUCCAGACUCCCACGGGAGGCAGCAGUAGGGAAUCUUCCGCAAUGGGCGAAAGCCUGACGGAGCAACGCCGCGUGAGUGAUGAAGGUCUUCGGAUCGUAAAACUCUGUUAUUAGGGAAGAACAUAUGUGUAAGUAACUGUGCACAUCUUGACGGUACCUAAUCAGAAAGCCACGGCUAACUACGUG